UGCUCUUUGGAAGAUGGGGAUUUGUGAUUAUUUGACAACAGACCAAGGAAACAUUCGUGCAAUGCCAUGAAGAGUAGCGUGGGCCAUGCAUUAGGAUAAGCAAUUGAAAAAGACUGUUGUUUUUUACGUCCACUUUUUUAAUGCCUUCUGAACUCUCAAUGGUAGGAAAAAUAAUGAUCGUGACGUGGGUCAACUGAAAAUAAAAAUCAAGUCCUCAAACCUAUGUGCGUAGGCCGUGCUCCAAGCAAUGGCCGCAGGAAUGGUCGCGCCUCUUGGUUUCUGUCUGCGAGUUCAAAUGAAUUCCACGAUGUGAUACUGUCAGCUGGUUUUGUGCUUUCAUGUGCUUGCUGCGAAAGAAGCGCGCUUUUGAUGUUGUUCUACUUACGUCUCAUCAAAGGUUUCGCGGCAGCUGCAUUUCAUGGUUCUGUGCAAAACCACCUGGAAAACAUCCGUCGUCUGAAAGUGAUAUUCUUAAGAGCGCCUCGCAGACUCAGAUUUGCAGGUUGCUGAAUGCUGGCAAAUUGAAAACGACCCCGUUUGAAAGGAGAUGGAGGCCGUCAAUCCUUUAAGAAUAUCAAAAGCUACGGUACAAACAGCUCGCAAAAUGUAAUGGGUGUCUAGAGAUCCAGCUGUAAAGCUGCGGCGUAGUGCAAUCUGUUGAAUUUUAGUCGUAUAGAGCAAGAUUUUGCAUAUCUCUCCUAAAAUGAUUUUAUAGUGAGUGGCUAUUUUAAACAUUUACUGAAUACAUGAUUACCUGUGCUUAUUGAAAGAGACAAGACUUGCAUUUAGAGGAAUUGUAGUUAAAUUCUCCUGUUACCUUCAUGUCUUCCCCUAUCAAGCUGUCAAAGAGAGAAGCACGUGCUUUAUGUCUGCUUAUCCCAAAGUAAAUGCAUUUAAAGGUCAUAGAGAAGGGAUCAUUGCUGCAGUUCCGAAAUGGUUAGAAGAGUAUUUGAAAUACUAUUUUUAAAAGAGAGAAAUGAGGAAUAAAUUAUGCAUGCUCAUGAUGAAGUUACUCUUAAGGUCCUCAAGGAACUGUUUGUGUACUUGUGCUGGUUUAUAUAUUCUAUAUACGCAUAAAUUAUUAAUAAAAAAGGUAAACAGUACUAUCAACGACAAAUUUUGUUUCCACAAUGAUCUUAA